CCCUUAGAUGUUCUGGGCCGCACGCGCGCUACACUGUUCGACGCAGCGAGUCUUAACCUUGACCGAAAGGUUUGGGUAAUCUUCGGCAAAGUCGAACGUGAUGGGGAUCGAUCGUUGCAAUUAUUAGUCUUGAACGAGGAAUUCCUAGUAAGCACAAGUCAUCAGCUUGUGUUGAUUACGUCCCUGCCCUUUGUACACACCGCCCGUCGCUCCUACCGAUUGAAUGUUCCGGUGAGCUCUUCGGACUGCGCGGUCUGCAGUUUCUGCGUUCCGUGCGGAAAGUUGCACAAACCUUAACAUUUAGAGGAAGGAGAAGUCGUAACA
rnacentral:rRNA from 1 species